ensembl:lncRNA
CCAGUUUGGACCCGGCUGACCAAAACUCUAGGAAAUGCCUCCCUCCGAAAAACAAAUAAGCAUUUGUCACAGUAGGAAGGGACCCUGACAGAGGCAACUGGGAUUAAAUGUUUUUGCUAAAGAUGAUGAUGAUGUCACCUUCUCCAACGGAUUCAAUUCCUGCCUUCUUCCUCACCUCAUGCAACUAUGGAAUUUGUAUCAAAAUGAAGUGCACGUUUUUAAUCAGUCCCGGAGAGGCUGAGGCAGGAGGCUUUCAUUAUACACAAAAGACAUGGGUGUUAUUUAAUUAUGAAGAUCCUUUCAGAAAACUAAGAAUGAAUUGAACAUCAAGUUUUAUCAUUGUGAUCAUCUACCCUCUGAGCCUAGAGCAUCCCCUGAACUUGGAGCAGCAAGAGAAAGUAAAACUUCUGCAGUUGCAUAAAAAUAUCCAAACCUCACGAAUGAAAUUAAAACCCCGUGACAAUAAUCACAUCUAUGUUGCAAC